GACGUAGGGCGCGAGCGUUGUCCGGAUUUAUUGGGCGUAAAGAGCUCGUAGGCGGUUUGUCGCGUCUAUCGUGAAAACUGGAGGCUUAACUUUCAGCGUGCGGUGAAUACGGGCAGACUUGAGUUCGGUAGGGGAGACUGGAAUUCCUGGUGUAGCGGUGAAAUGCGCAGAUAUCAGGAGGAACACCGGUGGCGAAGGCGGGUCUCUGGGCCGAAUACUGACGCUGGAGGAGCGAAAGCCGUGGGGAGCGAACAGG
rnacentral:rRNA from 1 species